AGAGUUUGAUCAUGGCUCAGAUUGAACGCUGGCGGCAGGCCUAACACAUGCAAGUCGAACGGUAACAGGAAGCAGCUUGCUGCUUCGCUGACGAGUGGCGGACGGGUGAGUAAUGUCUGGGAAACUGCCUGAUGGAGGGGGAUAACUACUGGAAACGGUGGCUAAUACCGCAUAAUGUCGCAAGACCAAAGAGGGGGACCUUCGGGCCUCUUGCCAUCAGAUGUGCCCAGAUGGGAUUAGCUUGUUGGUGAGGUAACGGCUCACCAAGGCGACGAUCCCUAGCUGGUCUGAGAGGAUGACCAGCCACACUGGAACUGAGACACGGUCCAGACUCCUACGGGAGGCAGCAGUGGGGAAUAUUGCACAAUGGGCGCAAGCCUGAUGCAGCCAUGCCGCGUGUAUGAAGAAGGCCUUCGGGUUGUAAAGUACUUUCAGCGGGGAGGAAGGUGUUGUGGUUAAUAACCACAGCAAUUGACGUUACCCGCAGAAGAAGCACCGGCUAACUCCGUGCCAGCAGCCGCGGUAAUACGGAGGGUGCAAGCGUUAAUCGGAAUUACUGGGCGUAAAGCGCACGCAGGCGGUCUGUCAAGUCGGAUGUGAAAUCCCCGGGCUCAACCUGGGAACUGCAUUCGAAACUGGCAGGCUUGAGUCUUGUAGAGGGGGGUAGAAUUCCAGGUGUAGCGGUGAAAUGCGUAGAGAUCUGGAGGAAUACCGGUGGCGAAGGCGGCCCCCUGGACAAAGACUGACGCUCAGGUGCGAAAGCGUGGGGAGCAAACAGGAUUAGAUACCCUGGUAGUCCACGCCGUAAACGAUGUCUACUUGGAGGUUGUGCCCUUGAGGCGUGGCUUCCGGAGCUAACGCGUUAAGUAGACCGCCUGGGGAGUACGGCCGCAAGGUUAAAACUCAAAUGAAUUGACGGGGGCCCGCACAAGCGGUGGAGCAUGUGGUUUAAUUCGAUGCAACGCGAAGAACCUUACCUGGUCUUGACAUCCACAGAACUUUCCAGAGAUGGAUUGGUGCCUUCGGGAACUGUGAGACAGGUGCUGCAUGGCUGUCGUCAGCUCGUGUUGUGAAAUGUUGGGUUAAGUCCCGCAACGAGCGCAACCCUUAUCCUUUGUUGCCAGCGGUCCGGCCGGGAACUCAAAGGAGACUGCCAGUGAUAAACUGGAGGAAGGUGGGGAUGACGUCAAGUCAUCAUGGCCCUUACGACCAGGGCUACACACGUGCUACAAUGGCGCAUACAAAGAGAAGCGACCUCGCGAGAGCAAGCGGACCUCAUAAAGUGCGUCGUAGUCCGGAUUGGAGUCUGCAACUCGACUCCAUGAAGUCGGAAUCGCUAGUAAUCGUGGAUCAGAAUGCCACGGUGAAUACGUUCCCGGGCCUUGUACACACCGCCCGUCACACCAUGGGAGUGGGUUGCAAAAGAAGUAGGUAGCUUAACCUUCGGGAGGGCGCUUACCACUUUGUGAUUCAUGACUGGGGUGAAGUCGUAACAAGGUAACCGUAGGGGAACCUGCGGUUG
rnacentral:rRNA from 1 species